AAUCUCCAUAGGAAGCAGACUUUGCUGGGUUACAGUUUGAACCAGAAAGAUUUGACCUAUUAGGAUCACAGGUUUGGACUGAAAAGGAACACUGAAAUUAUUUUAAGAACAAAAAAAAAAUGUUUUGCUUCAGGUCUCAAAAGAAGUCAUAAAAACUAAGAAGUGUGGGGAAAGAACACUCAUGGCAUGGCAGACAGUCAUUAAAAAUGAUGGAAAAAUGGAAAUGGAGCAUCUUGUUCAAGAACAGGAAUUGAAUGAAUACCCAGCUGAAAAUGAAUCAACAAGCUGGCAUAGAAUUCAAAAGAACUAUCUUAGUCUACAUGAACUGCAGCACAAUGUCUAGAAGAUUAUAGCUCCAUUGUUCAUUGUCAUGGUCAGACUAUACUUGCAUUAUCUGCCCAGGUUUAGCAGUAUCUCCAAGACUACCAGCUCUGCUUCCUUCUGAUCACAGCAAUGAUCAUUUUGGCAAGCACCCCACCCAAAGAGAAGGGACCUUCCAUCUUCAUCACCACCACCAGAUGCAGCCAACCAACUGCAAUGGAUGGGCAGAUUAGUCCAAGAGUCCAGGGAACUUUGGCAAUAUACCUCCCUUGGCCAACUUUGCCAGAUCACCAUCUCUACUUCCAACCUUGCCACCACAAGAGAGCAAACCCUGGAGAAAAAGCUGACCCUAUUCACCAUGACCUACACCAACUGCCAACCAACUGCCACUAUAAGGGCAGGUAAGCUCAAGACCCCUAGGAAUGGCAAUACCCCCUCCCCCACUCCUAUAGAGAUUGCCCCAAUGGCCAUUUUGCUGGAAAGCUACCCUUUCAAAGAUGUGACCUGGCAACUGCCUCUCCAGAUGCUGUAGCACCCACAUCCUCAGUAGCCAUAGCUAUGAAAGACACGGAAUUUUAUUUAAAAGUUCUCAACACCUAAGUCCUUGGCACCACUAAAUAUUCCAACAACAAAAACAAAAUCAAUAUUUUUAUUUAUGCAAAUGAGAGAUAGAUUAACAUCUGCAUUGCUACUGCAUCCAAGGGGACUACUGGACCUUGACAUCUGGCUCCCAGCUGAAAUCCCUGAUGUGUUUGUUUCCUCCAUAAGAAUAUGAGUUCCUUGAGAGCAAGAAUUGUCUUCCUUUUCUAUUUGUACCCUAUAGUCUUAGCACAGUACUUUACAAAAAGUAAGUACUUAAUAAUUUUUAAUAAUUUUUUCUUACAUUCAUUAUUAUUUAUACUUUUGGGAAGCACAUUUUAGAAAGACAGUUUAUAAGUCACCUGGAUCAAGUUGAAAGGAAAGUGACCAGGAUGGUGAAAUAACUUUAAAUUAUAUGAAAAAAAAAGUAGGGAUGUUUAUUUAGAGUGGAGAUAAAAGCACUUAAGCAGGAUAGGAUAACCAUCUUCAAAUAUUUGAAGGAUUGUCCAGUAUUUAAAGAUGAGUUAAGCUGGUUUUGUCUGAACAGAGAUCUCAAAAUACCAAACAAUAUGGGCAAGUGACAGCAAUUUGGAAAUACCAGGGCAACCCAGGGAGACUAAUCCAUUGGACUGAAAUAGGUGAUGAAUCUAAAAGGGGAAAUGGAGAAGGGGCAAAAGGAGAGGUAGGUAGUUCCCAGGAGGGAAAGGAUUUCCCUCAAAGGGAGGCCUCAGAGAUGAGGUGAGAGUUUCAGGAAAGGCUGAUAAAGCAGUCAUCCCCUGAAGCUUGGGAUAGGAGAUAGACUACCUAUGGUGGUUCACUGAACUAUUGGGUAUGUAGUUCUCUGUGUUCCACAUAGGGUGCCUCGACAAAGACCAGCCUAGAGUCUAAAGCUCUGAAAUACUCGACCUGGAAACCUAGUUUCAUUUCUUCAUUCUUCUCAGGGCUCCACUCCUGAUUCUUCAGAUUUAUUUCUCCAGGGCCUAAUGUGGAUACCUUCUCCCUGCCCCAACUUUCUCUUUUAUGCUGUGUUUCUCCAUUAGAAUGUCAGCUGCUUAACAUGAACUAUCUUUGUGCUAGUAUUUCUACUCCCAUUUCUUAGCACAAUUCCUGACAUAUAUUCUCUUAACAAAUGCUCUUCAACUUGACCUGCCAGUGACCAAGUACCGUAGUAGUAGCUUGAGUCAAAAGAGAGAAGCUCAGACUUCUCUGGUAACUGUCCAAUCAGUGUGACUUCUUUAUAAGCUUUCUUUCUCUUCUGCUUUCUCUUCCUUGAGAGCUGUAUGAAAGGAAGAAAUCCCUAUGGAUCACUGAUGCUUAGAACUGUAAUGGGCAGCCACUACAGGUAGUAGCAUCCCCAUCACUGGAGAUUUUUUUAAUUUGGAAAAUUUUAUUUAAUUAAUCAAUUUAAAAUAUUUUUCAUGUAUAUAAGAUGCAUGUUAUUUGCCUCCCCUCCCCAUCAACCUCCUAUAGCCAACACAUAAUGGGUUUUGCAUGUGUCAUUUAUCAAGACCUAUUUCCAUAUUAUUGCUAUUUGCACUAAAGUGAUCAUUUAGAGUCUACAUCCCCAAAAAUAUCCCCAUCAACCCAUAUGAUCAAGCAGUUGUUUUUCUUCUGUGUUUUUAUUCCCAUAGUUCUUCUAGAUAUGGAUAGUGUUCUUUCACAUAAGGUCCUCAGAAUUGUCCUGGAUUAUUGCAUUGCUGCUAGUAGAGAAGUUCAUUACAUUUGAUUGAACCACAGUGUAUCAGUCUCUCUGUACAAUGUUAUCCUUGUUCUGCUCCUUUCACUCUGCAUCAAUUCCUAGAGGUCGUUUCAGUUCACAUGGAAUUCCUCUACUUUAUUAUUCCUUUGAGCACAAUAGUAUUCCAUCACCAACAGAUAUCACAAUUUGUUCAGCCAUUCCCCAAUCAAAGGGCAUCCUCUUAUUUUCCUUUUUUUUUUUGCCACCACAAAGAGUGCAGCUAUAAAUAUUUUUGUACAAGUCUUUUUCCUUAUGAUCUCUUUGGGGUAUAAACCUAGCAUUCACUGGAGAUUUUCAAGCAGAGGUUUGUUGAAUUCUUUGGGGGGAUGUUGUAGGAUGAAUUUCUGUUCAGAUGCAAAUCGAACUACAUGACCUGUGAAGUCUUUUCCAACUCUUGAUAGUCUACAAGACCAAUGGUGCAUGUUUAAAAACCCACUUCACAGCCUCUGUUUUCUUGCCAGAAACUACAUUUCUAAGCAAUUAUCCUUCAAAUAAAAAUGAUCAGUGACAAGAGAGAAUCAAGCAGCAUACCUCAUGGUAAUACGCAUACCUUCCAAAGGUGUCAUGUAUGACCAGGUAGCAUACUGUCUUAUUGGAAAGGAACUGCUAACAAGGGACCAGACAAAAAAAUCUACCCUUCUCAUACUUUGUGACUGCUCCAAGAAUAACUAUGUAUAGAGCUCCAGAGAAAGGAACUUUUAUUUAUUUGUCUGUUUCUUGCCUAUAGAUGAUCUUUUUGUGAUAGCUCAUACAGUCAAGGAAUUUUGGAGCUAUAAGGGCUGCUAGAGUUGAUCUUGUCUAAUUUUCCCAUGUUAUAAAUGAGAAAAACGAGGCUUAGAGAGUAAGUGAUUUGUCCAAAAUGACACAGGUCAUUAGUGGCAGGAUUGAGACUGAAAUCUAGCUCUCCUUAAUCCUAAGUUUUUCAGCUAUAUUAACAUAAUAUACUAGGCACACUGCUAGACUCAGAGUCAAGAGAUUCUUAUCUAUAACUUUAUGGAAAAUGUUCUAAAUCACUUUAUAUUGGAGAAAUGAAAAUCAAAACAACUCUGGGAUAUUACCUCAUACGAAUCAGAUUGGCUAAAAUGAUAAAAGGGGAAAAUGACAAAUGUUGUAGGGAAUGUUGAAAAAUGGGGACACUAAUACAUUAUUGGUGAAACUGUGAACUUAUCCAACUAUUUUGGGAAAUAACUCUAAUUAUGCUCAAAUAAUUAUAAAACUGGGUAAACCUUUUUAUCUAACAAUAUCACUAUUAGGUUUAUUUCCUAAGAUGAUCAGGGGAAAAAGAAAAGGACCUAUAUGUUCUAAAAUAUAGCAGCUUUCUUUCUGGUGGCAAAUAACUGAAUGCUGAUGGAAUGCCCAUCAGUUGGAGAAUGGUUAAACAAGUUGUGGCAUAUGAUUGAGGUAGACUAAUACUGCACUGCAAGAAAGGAUAAGUGGAUUAAUUUGGGGAAAAGUGUGGAAUGACUUACAUGAAAUUAUGAAUACUGAAAUGAGCAAAACCAAGAGAACAUUAUAUGUAGAAAAAGAAAUAUUGUUUGAAGGAUGACAUGUAUGUUUCCCUCCAGAGAAAGAACUAAUAAAUAGAAAUGAGAAAUAGUUAUCUAUUUAUCUUUCUAUCUAUAUCUUUUUGUCAAAUAAUGUCUUUUCUAGUGGGGGAGGGGAAAGAGGGAAGGAGUUAACUAUUCAUACUCUAUAGCAUCAUGGACAAGUCACAUUACAUCUUAACUAUAAUAAAUUAAUACAGCUUUAAGACAGAGACAAAUUAUACUCCCACACAGAAGAAAUCAUGGCCUCCUUCAUGACCUUUCCCACAGUCUUCUUCUAUAUUAUAUAUAUAUAUAUAAACACAAUUCUCUUGACCCUGCAAAGACUCACAUUAUGUCCAAUUUCUAUCAUUCCAAAUUUUUUGAAAGCCUAGCUUACAUCCACUGGAUCUUGCAGUUCAGUAACUAUAUUAGGGAAUCAAGGAAGAGAAAGCACCUAGAAAGAAGGCUUGUGAAGAAGUCAAAUUGGUAGGCAAGUUACCAGAGAAGAAUAUUACAGAAGCUAAAGAAGAGAAAGUCUUGACAUGGAGGCAAUGGUCAAAUACUACCAAGAUGUGAAAGAAGAUGAAGAUUAAGAAAAUGACUUUGGAUAGAUAGGUUUGCAAGUUAUUUGGUGACCUUGAAUUGGUCGAAUCAGAAGUAAGUUACCUUAGAGGGCUCUAUUUCAGGAAUGUGGGGUGGAAGAGAGAGGAAGACAUUAAAAUAUACCAUUAUGGAAAAAAAAAGUCAUAGUAAAAGACAGUAAUCCAAAUUUUUUUUAAAAAAGAAAAACUAGUCCAUAGACCUAGAUAAAGAAGUCAUAGACUGAAUGAUCUCUAAGGAUCCAUUCCAUUAACCUACUAUGAAUCUAUGAAUAUGAUAAGCUGCUACCCAAAAUAAAGUAUUCAAGCUUAUAUCUCUGACAGCAUAGCUUUACAUUGCCCCUCAUCUAUCAGAAAUUAUGUUUUAUUUAGCAUUCCUCAUAAUUUUUAAGAAAAAAAUAUAAUUUUUAAAAUUUACAUAACAAAAUUUUCUUCCAUUAUUCCUUUCUUCUCCCCAUUCCCAGAGAGCUAUCCCUGGUCAGUUCAUGAAAAAGAUAGGAUUGUUUUAUUGCUCUCUAAAUGUUAGCCAAUCCCUGUACAUCACUGUGAUCAAAAUCAACGAUCCCUUCCUAAGCAGGGCCUGCUAAAGUGAGUCUAGAGAAUUCUUGAACCUCAAUGAGAUUUCCCAGUCUUAAAGAGACUAAAUUGAAAUUAUACCAAAUGCAGGCAUUCACAGGACAUAGAUGGCUUUCCAGGAUAAGUCACACUAACUGGAAGAGAGAUUGCUUCUUUAUCUAGAGUAAUCAAAAAUGAUGCAACAUAGUGUUUUUAGGGUUUUUUUUUUUUUUGCAUUUAUCAGGGAACAUGAGGAAAGAACAAGAGGCACAGAUGAAGGAUUAAACUACUGCUGGAGAUAUUUUUUUAAUAAUAAAAAACCUUAUGGGUGUUUCAGGUAUUGUCCCCUAGUGGAUUCCCAGGUACCCUUGUUAUUUGCCAAGUACUCUUCUUGAUAUUUUCAUGUCUUUACUUCAGUCGAGUAGGAGUAACUAAGAGUUAUCACCAAAAAUCAUAAGGCCAAGUCUUCAAGGGCCAAAAGGGUAGGGAUUAGGAGCACUGAAAGUUAUUGCUUUCAGCACUUAGCAGCCUGGAUUGGGAAUGUGCCCAAACUGCUACCUCCAUUAGAAAAGGGAAUUCAGCAUCAGGCUAGAGAAAUAAUCAGAAAUUAUCCUGAGCAUUCCCAGAGCUUAUCAGUAAAUGGGAUACUUUAUUUAUGAUAAUCAUAGUUUAAAAGUGGCAUGCCUCUUGUACCAGAUUACUUAGUACUCAAUCCAUGGCACAAAAAAAUAUUCAGGGAGAAGAAUUUCUUUUCAAUUUAACUCAGAUGUAAUGAGAAGUGAAGUAGUUAAUUCAUCUCAAUUCUUACUUUGCCUGUUGGAACAAAGGAAUGGGAAAGAUUCCAAUCCUAGGAUCAUGGUAUUUUAAACUAGAAGGGGCCUUAAAUUAGAAUCAAAGCCUCCCAUUUUAUGGAUGAAGUAAUAUAGCAUCCAGAGAGAAAAACCUUGCCAAAAAUCACAUAGUAACCAGGAGUUUCUUGAUUUUAAAUCCAUCUGCUGCUUUUUCCAUCUUCAUAGAAUCAUGGGACCUCAGAGAUACAAGGAACUUCAGAACCUAUUAAGUCCAACUUAUUCUUGAACAAAGUCCUUAUCCAUGGUAUUCCCAACAAUUGGGUCUUUCCCUCCAAGAGGGGAAAUAACUCCUUUCUGAGGUUAUCUUCUUCUUUUUGGAUAAUUUGAAUUCUUAAGACAUUUUACCUUAAUAUUAAGCUUGCCUGUCAUUGAUUUCUACCCACUGUUUUUAGUUCUGCCUUGGGGCCAAAUAGAUAAAUGUAAUCCUCUUCUAUUUGAUAACCCUUCAUACACUUAAGGAUGGCUUUUGUCCAUACCAUCCCCACAUUUUCUCUUUCCUAGAUUCUGAGUUUUCCCUUCACCAAAAUCUUAAUUCUAUCACACAGCCUGCUAUCCUCUUCUGCUCCCCCAUUCAUCCCCAAUUUAUCAAAUAAAUCUCAAAAGAUGGCUUCCAGAACUAUAUCCUAUAUUCCAUACAUGAUAUGGCAAGAGUUGAAUAUGAGUCUUAACAGAAUCCAUAUUCUAGGGUCUAUGGCAUGUUCAGGAAGGACAACACCUCUAGCGUUAGGGCUUGCUGAACCCUUUUCAAGGCUGCUCAUCCACUUUUGUUGUCUACCUUUCACUCAACUCCCACCUGUGGCUACAAGAAAUUGUAGCAUGUAUACUGGUCACACACUCCAGUAAAACUAUCUCAACAAAGGGCUAAACUAGGCUAAAUAACAAUGACAGACAGGCCUCAAAUAUAUCAGUGGGUUAAAGGAAUGUCUACCCCAAGGAUGUGAAGACUUCUUUCCCCUAGUGGGAUGGACAGAUGAGAACAGUUUGUUCUAAUGGCCAUGAAGAUGGCUGAAGCAGGAAUUUCAGGAGAGUUUAGAGUUUGGUCAGACAUCAAGAUGUCAAGGUCAUCCACUGCUUCAUUGGCUGCUGCCAGGCAUUUUGACUUUUGUCUUGCCAUUGGACUUUGAUCACUCUGAAAGAAAGAGUGAGACUGACGACUUUGGGCAACUCUGUCACUUAAAUCUGAUUCCUGCUUUAAUUCAAACAUUGGUUCUCUUCAAAAACAAACGAUGAAGGACAGCUGGGUAGCUCAGUAGACAGAGAGACAGACAGACCUAUAGAAUGGAGGCCCUGGUUUCAAAUAUGACUUCAGACACUUCCUAGCUGUGUGACCCUGUGUGAGCCAUUUAGCCCCAAAUGCUUAGCCCUUACCACUUUUUUGCCUUGGAACCAAUACUUAAUAUUGAUUCUAAGAGAGAAGGUAAGGGUUUAAAAAAACAAUGAAGAACAACAACUAUUCUAACAUCUGUGCCUUUGUUCAUGCAAUCAAAGACAAUUUCAGUAUUCUUAACUAAAAAGAUGGCAAAUAUUGAACUUGCAAUCAGCUAAAAUUUUCUUCUACUUUCUUCGCCUCUUCACUAGUUGCAACUCACUUUAUAUUGUACCUGGUUAUAUAUAUAACCAGGUGUUACAUAUAAGACUUUUACAUUUUAAAUUCCCUAUUCAAUUUCAGCUUGUUAGAUUCGCACAAUUAUUCAAAUAGGUCCCUGAUUUUGUCAUCCAACACGCUAGCUAUUCUCAUAUUUGUGCCAUUUGCCAAUUUGAUAAGCAUACUAUCUGUACCUUCACCCAGGUUAUUGAUAAAAAUGUUAAACCUGGGGCCAAGGACAGAUUUGUAGACGCAUUCCACUAGAGCCUCCUUUCAAACUUGGCAUAAGAGUAUUAAUGAUUACUCUUUGAAAUCAGGCAUUUAAUCAGUUCCAAAUCCAUCUAACUUUAUUAUGGUGGAAAGUAAUUGUCGUCAAUGUCUAUGCCACAUCUCUUCAGCUUUUCCACACACAAAAAAAAUUGGGAAAAGCCAAAAUUUUUAAUUGUUUAUUUUUACUCUAGCAAAAACUGAAAGAUGCUAUUUCUAAAAGUACCUGUAACAUUAAAAGAAUUUAGGAAAUCUGUAAUAUAUGACAAAUGUUUCUUCUUUAGUUUCCUGUUAUAAGCAUUGCUUUGACUGUGUGACAAUGUCACAAAUGCCCUUUAGCACUUCUAUUAUGCAACAGAGUUGGAACAGAGGACUAGAAUCCAAAGGAAAUAUUGGGGGAAAAAACAUCAAGGCAAAAGCGUGGGUGACCACAGAUCAGAUGUGCUACCUUGCAUAUGUGUACAGAUUUAACUAGUGAUUGAUAGUGUAUAUCUCUGUUUUCCAGAGCUUUGCAUUGAGCUCAUCAUGGAUAUUCUUUGUGGGUCAAAAGGCUUAAGCCAUGCAACUGCCCAAAGAUAUCCCUUAAAACUAUGCUAGAGGUCCACUAUCUUCUUUUUGUAGUUGUCUCUUUUUCACUAUGCUUCUUGAAUGCUGCUAUUGAAUACUUGGCUUCACUAGGAUCUGUUUGACCUGUUGACUGUGAUUCUUGCCCUUUAGUACUGAAUGGUCUAUGGAACCAGAGAUUUUAGAACUCAUAUUGUGGAGAAAAGGGUAUAUGGCAAAUAGGGUUUCAUGCAGCAUCUCGGACUUAGAUAAUGUCAAUCUUUUAGAGCACCUAUCUACCAUUUAAUUAAUCAAUUCACAUUUAUUAAGCAUUUACUAUAUAUAGGAACCCAGAAGUAAUUAGAUACAAUGAAAGACAAAAAUAUUAAAAUAGGUCCUGCUAUUAAGGACCUUACAUAAAAUGGGGGAACCAACAUUUAAAUAAAUAGAUACAUAUGAGAUACUUUCAAAGUAGUUAUAAUAAUACCUAUAACACACACACACACACUCAUUCAAAUCUAUUAGUGCUGAUUUGGGGCAUACAUACAAAAAUUCCACAAUCUAAUUAGUAUUUCCAUUUUAAUAGAAAAAGAAACUUUGAAAACAUUUGUUUUGACAAUAUGCAUUUUAAUGUAUUGGAAUUGUCCAAAAUAACAAAUAAAUGACAGGGUGGCAAUUUAGGAACCACUUACUAAAUGCCUGGCCAUUAUCAGAGAACAAUUGUGGCACAUGAAUUACAAUUGUAGAUAUAUUGAGCUUGACAUUAAAUGACAUGGGUUAGUGUACAACUCUGUCAUAUAAUAGUUGUGUAACCUUAUGAAUGUAAUCAGUAUGGAAAGAUCUUUUCUUUAAGAUCAGUCCUUACUGUCCACCAGAGAAUUCAAACUAGAGAAAAACCUUAUGAAUAUAAUGCAUGCAGAAAGGUCUUUGGACAGAAAAAUUCACCUUAUGAAACAUCAAAAGCAUCAUAGUCUUUAGAAAUUAUAUGAAUGUGAAAAUUAAGAGAAUAUUAUCCUCCAAGGCUGAUACCUUUCUCCCUAGGAUCUCAUAAUGGAAAGAAUAAUCUUUGAAAUGUAGUGAUUUUGAAUCCUCUUUUUACUGGAAGUUCUUUGAGCAUCAAUUUCAUCAUAGGCAUAAUGAGAUGUUGAUAUACCAUGUCCUUGUUGGACUGGUGUAGAGUGAAUUAGGCAUUGAGAAUGGGCUGGGCACUGUAACUAUCCAUCACUAACUCAAUACAAUACAUUCAUGCCUCCAUAAUUGAUUUCUGAUGACAAUACAAUGACAAACAGAAGGGAUUCUGCAUUUCUUGAGAUGGUUCUGGGAAGUUGUGGAAACACUUUGUUCUGUAGCAUGACUUCUUUGAUCAAUUUGCAAAAGAAAACAAAGUCGCAAGAUGAAGGCACUCAUUUCAGCCUUCUCUCAUUACUCCUGAUGACUAAUUUAGCCCAGUGGAUUCUGUAAAAGUCCAUUUUGAUCAUUAGAUAGGUUAAAAUAAUUAAAUUAAGCCUCCAUUUCUGUUGGAGUCCCAUUUGGAGUCCUGGACCUUGGUCUAGUUACUUCCCUUUUUUGAGACUGUUUCUUUUAUUAGGGAACCUGGCAGAGUGUCCAAAGUGUUGGGCUGGUUAAUUAAAACCCUUCCCUAAAUAUUUAUUGAUUGAGUGAUUAUAGUCAUAGCCUCAUUACCCUCAUUUAUGAGAUGGGAAUAAUAAGGAUUUCAUGCUAUCUCAUAGGAUUGUAAGGAAAUCAGCCCAGAAGGUUUUCUGUAAACCUUAAGGAACCAUAUAAUUUGUUGUGGUGGUGAUGGCUGUUGUUAUUAAGACAUAGCUAUCAGAGGGCCACUUUAGAGUCCAGUAAACAUGGGUAAAAGUUCUGCCUCUGACAUGUAUUUCUCAUGUGACACUGAGAAAGUCAUUUAACCUCUUUGUGUUCUUGGAAACUCUCUUGAAAUUUUGAAGUUGUAAAACAGUGGUUAUUUGGCAUUGAUGGAAGGAUUUUUCUCAGAGUUCCCCAUAUAGAUGAAAUCCCAGGACCAAAAGCAUCCACUUAUCACCACCACAACCACCACCAUCCUUGUGUCAUCAUUAAGAUACUGUCUCUACAAUGAGAGGAUCUAGGUUCAAAUCCUACCUAUGAUACUUAUUGCCUGUGCAAAGUUGGACAAGACACAAUUUCUCUGGAUCUGUUUCUUCAUCUAGAAAAUGAGAAAAUAAACUAGUGUACUUCAGAGUUCCUUUUCACCUACCAUUCCUGAUCUUAUGUCCCUGUGGUAAUCAUUCCAUCAGGAUAGUCCACUAAAUGAUGGGAGAAUAAUAUAAGUAGCUGACCUGUCAUCAUUUUUAAAAAUUUCACAAAAUACUUUGCCUAGAUUAUCUCAUUUGAUCCUCACACAAGCCAUAGGGACAGGUCUACAAUACUGUGGUUGUCACCACCAUGUUCCAGAUAGAAAGCUAAAACUCAUAAAGGAUGAAUGAAAUUAAUUCUUUGCCAGACUGGGAGUAUAGUUGUGUUGUAGAAGGACUCUCCAGUAUUUAUCUCUUUCCAACAAUCAGAGGACCAACUCCCAAAGUUAAUGUAAUAGAAUUUAUUCUUCUUCAUAGCCUCUUUCAUCUACUCUUAAGCAAAAAAAAAAAAUAGUAUGAUAAAAGAGACUUAAAGGAUGGAGAGACUCAGAGAGAUAAAAAUUUCAGUUACAUUAUAAAUGAGAUAAUCUACCUUUAUUUUUUUAUUUUGAUUGCCACCAAUUGCAUAUACCUGAAUUUGCAUAUGUUAAGUUGGUAUAAAACUAAUAUAUUCAGGCCAAGAAAAGAAAUAAUAUAUUCCUGAUUCCUUCAGCUACUGGUUCCUCCUUCUACUCCUAUCCUACAAUAGUAUCACUGAGUGCAAUGCUCAAGCAAAAAGAAAAACAUCACUUGUUAGAAGAAAGAAGAUGGACAUUUUUUUUAUUUUUUAUUUAUUUUUUUAAACCCUUACCUUCUGUAUUGGAGUCAGUACUGUGUAUUGGUUCCAAGGCAGAAGAGUGGUAAGGGCUAGGCAAUGGGGGUCAUGUGACUUGCCCAGGGUCACACAGCUGGGAAGUGUCUGAGGCCAGAUUUGAAGCUAGGACCUCCCAUCUCUAGGCCUGACUCUCAAUCCACUGAGCUACCCUGCUGCCCCCAGAUGGACAUUUUUACUGAUAAUAACUUCACAUAUUAUCAUAGGGAAGAAUACAUGCUCAAGAUCCUAUAUUAAUUCCCUCUAGUUACCCUGUGUAUGUUUUCUUACAUUUAUUUUUAAUGAUACUUUUUAUAACAUUUAAUUUUUAACUUUCCUUUUAUUAUUCUGUCCCUUCCAUUAUCCCACAUUCAUUGAGCAAAAUUAAAAAAAAUAAAUUAAAUCCUCAGUAAUACAUGUGUUAUUCAUCAAAACAAACUCCCAUA